UAGGGAAUCUUCGGCAAUGGACGAAAGUCUGACCGAGCAACGCCGCGUGAGUGAAGAAGGUUUUCGGAUCGUAAAACUCUGUUGUUAGAGAAGAACAAGGACGUUAGUAACUGAACGUCCCCUGACGGUAUCUAACCAGAAAGCCACGGCUAACUACGUGCCAGCAGCCGCGGUAAUACGUAGGUGGCAAGCGUUGUCCGGAUUUAUUGGGCGUAAAGCGAGCGCAGGCGGUUUCUUAAGUCUGAUGUGAAAGCCCCCGGCUCAACCGGGGAGGGUCAUUUGAAACUGGGAGACUUGAGAGCAGAAGAGGAGAUUGGAAUUCCAUGUGUAGCGGUGAAAUGCGUAGAUAUAUGGGGGAACACCAGUGGCGAAGGCGGCUCUCUGGUCUGUAACUGACGCUGAGGCACGAAAGCGUGGGGAGCAAACAGG
rnacentral:rRNA from 1 species